GACGAACGCUGGCGGCGUGCUUAACACAUGCAAGUCGAACGGAAAGGCCCUGCUUUUGUGGGGUGCUCGAGUGGCGAACGGGUGAGUAACACGUGAGUAACCUGCCCUUGACUUUGGGAUAACUUCAGGAAACUGGGGCUAAUACCGGAUAGGAGCUCCUGCUGCAUGGUGGGGGUUGGAAAGUUUCGGCGGUUGGGGAUGGACUCGCGGCUUAUCAGCUUGUUGGUGGGGUAGUGGCUUACCAAGGCUUUGACGGGUAGCCGGCCUGAGAGGGUGACCGGCCACAUUGGGACUGAGAUACGGCACAGACUCCUACGGGAGGCAGGAGUGGGGAAUAUUGCACAAUGGGCGGAAGCCUGAUGCAGCAACGCCGCGUGCGGGAUGACGGCCUUCGGGUUGUAAACCGCUUUCGCCUGUGACGAAGCGUGAGUGACGGUAAUGGGUAAAGAAGCACCGGCUAACUACGUG
rnacentral:rRNA from 1 species